rnacentral:lncRNA from 1 species
GCUAUGAUCGUUAAUGUUGACAUGUCAAGAUAUGUAGUUGGUGAGAAUAGAUGCGUAAAUAAAGGGUAGAGACUAAUAUGUAGGAGUGUAAGAGAAUUGAUGAAAUUAACAUAGUGGUUUAACAAUAUCGUACACCAUUAAAAAAAUUAAGAUAUUAUCUUUUAGGAUUCAAAUUUUCUGAAUUAUAUUUAACAAGAGUUUUUCAUAAGACAGCAA